UCCUGGCUUAGAACGAACGCUGGUGGCGUGUCUAUACAUGCAAGUCGAGCGAGGCAGCAAUGCCGAGCGGCGAACGGGUGAGUAACGCGUAAGCAAUCUGCCCCAUAUCAGGAAAUACCCGUGCCAACGCGCGGUUAAUGUCCAGGAGAGUGGCCUUCCGCAUGGAAGGUUGACUAGAGAUUUAUCGGUAUGGGAUGAGCUUGCGUCCGAUUAGCUAGUUGGCGGGCAACGGCCCACCAAGGCGACGAUCGGUAGCCGGCCUGAGAGGGUGAUCGGCCACAUUGGGACUGAGAUACGGCCCAGACUCCUACGGGAGGCAGCAGUAGGGAAUAUUGCACAAUGGGGGAAACCCUGAUGCAGCAACGCCACGUGUUGGGAAGAAGCAUUUCGGUGUGUAAACCACUGUCAUGAGGGAAUAAGGCCCGCCUUCGGACGGGAUUGAAUGUACCUUGAGAGGAAGCACCGGCAAACUUCGUGCCAGCCGCAGC
rnacentral:rRNA from 1 species